rnacentral:rRNA from 1 species
CCUGGUGGUAAAGGCGGAGGGGAACCACCUGUUCCCAUACCGAACACAGUAGUUAAGCCCUCCAGCGGUCAUGGUACUGCCACAUCUCGUGGUGGGAGAGUAACUCGCUGCCAGGA